rnacentral:SRP_RNA from 1 species
CUACCGGCGUAACGCGGUGGUGGCUCUCGAACCAGGUCAGGGUCGGAAGACAGCAGCCUUAAGGGAUGCCCAUCAGGUGCCGUUACUCACUGGUAGCGC